UCAGCUUCGUCAGAUUCGCUAAUUUGUUGACCCCCUGGGAUCGCCGAUCAAAGGUCGAGACGAUUAUAGCCUAAAAUGUAGUGUCUACUCUAGUGGAGUGACCAAAUGAUAGCCCUAAAUCAAUCUGACUAGUGGGACCUAGCUGUCAGCUAAACAAACUCUCCCCCGCACGAACGCUCGCUCUGCUCGCGCUACGCCGCCGUCCUUCCUCUGCGCCGGCGACCUCGCGCCUCGUCGCCAUCCUCCCUGUCUCCCUCCCGCACCCGCGGCGAGUUCGUGCCGGGGGUGCCGGCGAGUUCCUCCCGCACCCGUGCUCAUCGACGCGCUCUCGGCGCUCGAGAUCUCGCCUCCUUCUCCGUCGGCAUCGACCUCGCCAAGUGCCGCGAGCGCGGGAUCCGGGUCACCAACACCCCUGACGUCCUCACCGACGACGUCGCAGACCUCGCCGUCGGCCUCGCCAUCGCCGUGCUCCGCAGGACAGAGGUAGUUUCUUCUUCCAGCAAUGUCCAUCCUGAUCAAACACUGCAGCAGCACAGAAGCAAUCGGUCAGGCAUAAGUUUUUGCAAGUAGUCUUGUUCAUGGAGAAGUACUGCUCGUAGGCACGAAGAGGCCAAUCAAUGUUAUUCACUGGAAUCUUUUGAAACUGCUCUAGUACUUGUGCCUCCCUCAAGUCACAGCUUUGCAAUGCAAAGUCUGAUUUGCACCCUUUGCAUUUUCUUUCUGGAUCAAAGAACGAAUAGUUUGGAGCACAAGCACAUUCUGUGUCUGUCUGGUUCCAGUUGAACGUGCAAUAGCUGUUGUAUCCACACACUCCACUGCCAAAAUUUGAGUACAUAAUGGUGCAGAUAUUUGCCGGCACUGCUUGCACUACUGUCAAUGCUGCAGGCAACCCACUGCUUACUACUCCUUUUUUUGGCUGUAGAAUCUGGAUUCUAUGUGACUGAAAGCUCAGACUUUGUUGAGGAGGUCUUGACCUUCUUAAUUAAUAGCCAGAAAUGUAGCUUCCGCUUCUGUAUAACUGAAGAUAAUAUCAUCAAAGUCAGUUCAAAACAGUUCAAUAUUGUUGAAGAUAAUAUCAUCAAGUGUACCCAACCUUGUCAUUUCUUGUAUGCUAAUUCAGUGUUGCAUUUUGUUGGUGCGGCAGAUGUCGAGGUCCGAGAGGCUUCAGCGGUGGCGGGAGGAAGAGGAGGAAUCCGAUGAAGAUGAUGUCGUCUUCCUUGGUGCUAUGCUUGCGGCAUUGAAGAGGAAGAAGAACAAGAUCGUCUGUUUAAUGUAAUAACUUGUAUUAAUGCAAUAACCUGGUGGCAUAACCAUCUUUGGAUUUUGGAGAUCAAAAUGUUCAUUUGAAUGAAUAACAUCCUGUUCAUAUUCCUGCUAUUUCAA